rnacentral:rRNA from 1 species
AAUGCUGCUCAAAAUGGGAGGUAUAUGUCUUCUAAAGCUAAAUAUUGGCCAGAGACCGAUAGCGCACAAGUAGAGUGAUCGAAAGAUGAAAAGCACUUGAAAAGAGGGUUAAAAAGUACGUGAAAUUGUUGAAAGGGAAGCGCCUAUGACCAGACUUGCGCCCGGUGAAUCACCCAGCGUUCUCGCUGGUGCACUUUGCCGGGCACAGGCCAGCAUCAGUUCAGCGCGGGGGAGAAAGGCUUCGGGAAUGUGGCUCCCUCGGGAGUGUUAUAGCCCGCUGCGUAAUGCCCUGCGCCGGACUGAGGUACGCGCAUUGCAAGGAUGCUGGCGUAAUGGUCAUCAGCGACCCGUCUUGAAACACGGACCAAGGAGUCGUCUUCGUAUGCGAGUGUUCGGGUGUCAAACCCCUACGCGUAAUGAAAGUGAACGUAGGUGAGAGCUUCGGCGCAUCACCGACCGAUCCUGAUGUUCUCGGAUGGAUUUGAGUAAGAGCAUACGGGGCCGGACCCGAAAGAAGGUGAACUAUGCCUGUAUAGGGUGAAGCCAGAGGAAACUCUGGUGGAGGCUCGCAGCGGUUCUGACGUGCGAAUCGAUCGUCAAAUAUGGGCAUGGGGGCGAAAGACUAAUCGAACCUUCUAGUAGCUGGUUUCCGCCGAAGUUUCCCUCAGGAUAGCAGUGUUGAACUCAGUUUUAUGAGGUAAAGCGAAUGAUUAGGGACUCGGGGGCGCUAUAUUGCCUUCAUCCAUUCUCAAACUUUAAAUAUGUAAGAAGCCCUUGUUACUUGAUUGAACGUGGGCAUUCGAAUGUAUCAACACUAGUGGGCCAUUUUUGGUAAGCAGAACUGGCGAUGCGGGAUGAACCGAACGCGAGGUUAAGGUGCCGGAGUGGACGCUCAUCAGACACCACAAAAGGUGUUAGUACAUCUUGACAGCAGGACGGUGGCCAUGGAAGUCGGAAUCCGCUAAGGACUGUGUAACAACUCACCUGCCGAAUGUACUAGCCCUGAAAAUGGAUGGCGCUCAAGCGUUCCACCCAUACCUCGCCCUCAGGGUAGGAACGAAGCCCUGAGGAGUAGGCGGACGUGGAGGUCAGUGACGAAGCCUAGG